rnacentral:RNase_P_RNA from 1 species
UGAGUAAACUGGGCAGUCGCGAGAGUAUCUGAUACUUUCGAGGAAAGUCCGAGCUCCGUAGGGCAGGGUGCUGGAUAACACCCAGUGGGGGCAACCCCAAGGAUAGUGCCACAGAAAUAAACCGCCAGGGGAGGUUUUAUAGCUUCCUCCCGGUAAGGGUGCAACGGUACGGUAAGAGCGUACCAGAGGCCGGGUGACCUGCCUGCUAGGUAAACCCCACCCGGAGCAAGACUGAAUAGGGGGGAGAUGACGUUGCCCGCUGAAUCCCCCGGGUACGAGUCGCUGGAGGAGCCAGGCAACUGGCGCCCUAGAUAGAUGGCUGCCGCUCCCUGUGGAGCACAGAACUCGGCUUACAGGUUUGCUCAUGUU